GGAGGUAUGGUUCAAUGGAAGAACAUCUGUUUGGCAUACAGUGGGCUCUGGUAUCUCCAAAUAAAGAUAAGCUCUAGUAUCUCCA
rnacentral:tRNA from 1 species